rnacentral:tRNA from 1 species
CGCUAGGCAUCCAUGGUUGAAUAGUUAUAGCGCCCAACUCAUAAUUGGCGAACUCAUAGGUUCAAUUCCUACUAGAUGCAUAGG